GUUUGUAAUGGACUACUUGUUGUUCAGUCACUCAGUCAUGUCCGAAUCUUUUGCAACCCCAUGGACUAUAGCCCUCCAGGCUCCUCUGUCCAUGGGAUUUCCCGGGUAAGAAUACUGGAGUGAGUUGCCAUUUCUUUCUCUAGGGGAUCUUCCCAACCCAGAGAUCAAACCCACAUCUCCUGUACUGGCAGGCAAAUGUAUUUUACCACUGAGCAACCAGGAAAGCCCAACUGACUACUAGGAAGAUUAAAAAAUUUUUUUUUCAACAUUGUUAAGUUUUUUCCCAUUAACUAAGCUGGAACCAAGUGCCUGCUGAAAUCUGACAACAUUUUGUCUAUUAUUUUUUCUUAACUUGAUGCUAAGGAUGAGUUUUGUGUCAUAAACUCCCACAUGCAGUGAGGGCCCAGCUUUGGGCCUUGUGUGGGCAUCCCCACCGGUCACACGGAGUCUGUGUGAAGCCUGGGGACAGUUGCUAUUGUAGAGUCGAGACACGGAGAACUUGACCUGCAAGGAGACCCAGGUGUGAGGAGUGGGGAGCGGGUUGGAUUCAAUCAGCACACGUACUGCAACAUUUGAAGGCCACAGUCACAUAUCUGAAGCUCUGGAAGACAGACAGAUUUCAGAAUUCAGAACAUUUCCGAUUUCAGUAAGGCAUAAAUGUGGUGCAUAAACCAAAUGUCUGAUAACAUCCCAAAGAGGUCAGAGGCAACCCCUGGGAUCAAACACAUCAAUAUUUCCAGUCCUGUAUCAGCAAAAUAGUACAUGAAUAUCCACACUAGGGGGAUAAAUGUAGCCUUGUAUCACUUCACACGUGGCCACCAAGGUGGUUAUAAACAAUCUCUCUGUUUUCGGGGACUUCUGGAUUUUAGAUGUAUGGAUCCAUGACUGUGGACUUGGGCCUGGUGCCAGGCGGUGUUCUCAGUGCCCCGAGGACUGGUGCCUGCAGGAGCUGGAGGUUCCUAAUGGGGAACGGGAACUCUCUGGGUCACGUCAGACACAGGGGUCUCACAGAAAAUGACACAAGGAAUAGAGGACUUCCCUGCCCCCCCAGUUCCUGUCAACAACAGGAGGCUCGCUGACGACUCUGGUGUCCUGAAGGCCGGGGGCCUCAGCUGUGGUUGGAGGUAUCAGUGCCCAGCGGACCAGAAGGAACACAGCUGACGCCGCCGGACAGAAGCAGAGCCUGAUGGGAGGAGAGCCGCUUCUAGUGGUAAGUGUACAACGUGUGUGUCAGGGUCGGGGUGACCGUGCGGCAUUGUGAAACAGGGAGUCAGAACGCUUUAAGAUCUGAAAGCGCCUGUAGUCUGUCAACAGAAUGUGUGUGUGUGUGUGUGUGUGUGUGUGUGCACAUUAAAACUCUUGGGAAAAAACUCUUCUUCCACCCACUUAGGUUGAAUGGUCAGGACCUGCAAAUUAACUGAUGAUAGACAGCCGAACAGGACAAAAGACGAGGUUUAUUUGCGUGUGGCUGGGGAACUCUCGGUAAUGAGUAACUUUCUCAGUACUCAGAGGUAAAGGCUUAUAUAUCAGCUUAAAAGGGCGGGGGGCUUCACUGGGAAAACUGGGCUUCACUACACCCACUUCUUUUGGGUUUUCCUUGAUGCUGCUGGGAAUGGUCCGCCUGUCUCCUUCCUAGAAUUUGCAGGGAACCCCUUGGAGGUGGGUUGGUGGCAGCUGUAUUUUUCAGAAGGCUCUGCUUUGGUCAGAUAAGGGAAGUUCAGAUAAGAUUUCAAAUAUUUUCACUU
ensembl:lncRNA